UAGAAAUUAGUCCAGCAACAUAUAAGCGUAUAUGUUCUGCUUUGCUUGGCACUCACUACUGCUUCUCUGGUUUAAAACUCUCCAGGUCAUUUAAGGGCUAUCAACCCAGAAAAUGGCUUUUUCGGUGUCGCUCCUGGGACUUCAGUGAAGACCAACCCCAAUGCCAUCAAGACCAUCCAGAAGAACACCAUCUUUACCAAUGUGGCCGAGACUAGCGACGGGGGCGUUUACUGGGAAGGCAUUGAUGAGCCGCUAGCUUCAGGCGUCACCAUCACUUCCUGGAAGAAUAAGGAGUGGAGCCCAGAGGAUGGGGAACCUUGUGCCCACCCCAACUCCAGGUUCUGCACCCCAGCCAGCCAGUGCCCCAUCAUUGAUGCUGCCUGGGAGUCUCCGGAAGGUGUUCCCAUUGAAGGCAUUAUCUUUGGAGGCCGUAGACCUGCUGGUGUCCCUCUAGUCUAUGAAGCUCUCAGCUGGCAACAUGGAGUCUUUGUGGGGGCGGCCAUGAGAUCAGAGGCCACAGCAGCUGCAGAACAUAAAGGCAAAAUCAUCAUGCAUGACCCCUUUGCCAUGCGGCCCUUCUU
rnacentral:sRNA from 1 species